GAACUAUUUCAUUCCUUUAUUUAUGCAUGCAAGUUUGAGCUUCCCUGCCGGAAAGCCCAGUCCUAGUUAAGUCAACUGGCGUGCUACGGAAAACCCCAAUAAUAAUAAGAAACCAAAAAAAAAAAAAAACGUCCUUGCCCGUCAAGAUGCCGUCGCCGUCGACCGCGUUAGCUCGCCGACGACCAAUCGGACAAGCGCCGAAAGAAACACACACACACAGACUCAGACACCAGUUGGAGUUCGAUCGGGCCAGGGAAGCGCGGCGAUGUCGUCGGGGCAGGCGAAGGUGCCGGUGGCGGGGCGGCGGAACGUGCUGGUGACGAGCGCGCUGCCGUACGUGAACAACGUGCCGCACCUGGGCAACAUCAUCGGCUGCGUGCUCAGCGCCGACGCCUUCGCGCGCUACUGCCGCCUGCGCGGCCACAACGUGCUCUACGUCUGCGGCACCGACGAGUACGGCACCGCCACCGAAAACAGGGCCCUCGAGGAGGGAUGCUCCCCGCUCCAGAUCUGCGACAAGUACCAUGCGAUCCACAAAGAAGUGUACGAGUGGUUCAACAUCAACUUCGACCACUUCGGCCGGACAUCCACCCCCCAGCAGACAGAGAUAUGCCAAUCCAUUUUCAGCAAACUGCUGGACAACAACUGGCUCUCAGAGAACACAAUGCAGCAGCUCUACUGCGAAUCAUGCCAAAGGUUCCUGGCGGACAGGUUCGUCGUGGGCUCAUGCCCUGUGGAGGGGUGCGGCAACGACACCGCGAGGGGCGAUCAGUGCGACAGAUGCGGGAGGCUGCUGAAUUCGACCGAGCUGAUUGACCCCAGAUGCAAGGUUUGUGAGGGCAUACCGAUCGUCCGCGACACGGACCACUUGUUCUUGGAGCUUCCCUUGUUGAAGGAGCAGCUGGAGAAGUACAUCGACGAGGCCUCGGCGACCGGAUCAUGGAGCCAGAACGCAGUCCGCAUCACAAACGCCUGGUUGAAGGAAGGGCUGAAGCCUCGCUGCAUCACCAGGGAUCUGAAAUGGGGCGUCCCUGUACCACAUGAGAAGUACAAGGAUAAGGUGUUCUAUGUCUGGUUCGAUGCGCCGAUCGGAUAUAUUUCCAUCACGGCGUGCUACACGCCCGAGUGGGAAAAGUGGUGGAAGAACCCAGAGAAUGUCGAACUGUAUCAGUUUAUGGGCAAAGAUAACGUCCCAUUCCACACGGUCAUGUUCCCCUCUGCUCUACUUGGAACUGGUGAAAACUGGACUCUGAUGAAGAAUAUUAGUGUGACUGAAUAUCUCAACUAUGAAUCAGGAAAGUUCUCGAAAACUAAGGGCAUUGGAGUGUUUGGCAAUGACGCCAAAGCCACAAAUAUCCCUGCUGAUGUGUGGCGAUACUACUUGCUUAGUAACCGUCCUGAGGCAUCAGAUGCAGUGUUCACAUGGGAAGGUUUGCAGAUAAAGCAUAACAACGAGCUGAUAAACAAUUUGGGCAACUUCAUCUAUCGAGUGCUAAGCUUUAUCGCAAAACCAGAGGGAGCUGGGUACGGCUCCAUCAUACCUGAAGCACCUAAUGCUAAUACACAUCCAUUGAGUCAGUCGUUAGCAGAAACUGUUGGUAAUUUGAUUGAGCAGUAUAUUGAUGCAAUGGACAAGGUCAAACUAAAACAAGGGCUGAAGAUUGCAAUGGCCAUCUCUAGUGAGGGAAAUGCUUACCUACAAGAGAGUCAAUUUUGGAAGCUUUACAAACAAGAUCCAGCUAGUUGCGCGACUGUGAUGAAAACUUCAGCUGGACUUGUCUACCUUCUCGCUUGUUUGCUAGAGCCUUUCAUGCCGUCCUUCUCGAAAGAUGUCUUGCAACAGCUGAAUCUCUGUCCGAAAGAGCAUAUUUCUUUCGCUGAUGAAAAGGGGGAGACUGAGAAGGUGAAAAGGCCUUGGGAUCUCAUACCAUCAAACCACAGGAUUGGUAAAACUGUGCAUUUGUUCGAAGUAUUGAAUGAUGAUGCAGUGGAUAGCUUCAGGAAAACAUUUGCAGGCAGUCAGGCCGAAAGAAACGCAAGGGCUAAUUAAAGAAGCCAAUGAAGUUGUUGCCUAACUGGAAGCUGCAAAAUAUUUCUUGCAAAGUUGAUCACAAUACUUAAUCAAAUUACAUUGAGAUCCAGAAAUGUGAGUUCGAAGAAUGAAUCAACAAUGUAUAUUUUACUGCUUAUUAGUGAUGAUGCGUUCAGAAAAUGUAGAUAAACUGAACUACAUGCUGUAGUACUUGGGAGUUGGAGAUGCCUAAAUUGAUGUACAUGUGCUGAUCACCUUGGGAGCUACAUUUUUAGUUUUAAGUAUGAUGUACAUAGUCAAAAAAUAAAGGAAACUCUUACUUUUCUAUCUAA